rnacentral:rRNA from 1 species
AUGAAUCCCAUGGUGAAAUGCUGCCUGCUGCUCCUCCUCUUCUUGACGGUUCUCUUGCCUGAGGCGCGCGCGACCUCGUGCCACUCCGAUGACCUACACGCGCUGCGGGGCUUCGCCGGGAACCUUAGCAGGGGGGCCGUUCUCCUUCGCGCCGCGUGGUCCGGCGCCAUGUGCUGCGCCUGGGAUGGUGUGGGUUGUGACGCCGCCAACGGCCGCGUCACGUGGUUGCGCCUUUCUGGACAUGGCCUUGUGGGGUCCAUCCCAGGAGCCUCCCUCGCAGGCCUCGCGUGGCUGGAGGAACUCGACCUCGGCUAUAACAGCUUGCACAACAUCUCAGGAGCGCUCACCAUGCUGCGUGGGUGCCAGAACCUCACCACGUUAAUUCUCACCAAGAAUUUCGGCGGCGAGGAGCUACCAGGCGAUGGCUUUAUUGGGUUCAAGAGCCUCGUGAUGUUCGACCUUGGUGAUUGUGCUCUCAAGGGCAGGGUUCCGGGAUGGUUGUCUCAAUGCAAGAACUUGGAGGUCCUUGACUUGUCCCACAACCAAUUGGUCGGCACCAUCCCGUCGUGGAUUGGUAGGCUUGAUCACCUUUGCUACUUGGAUCUCUCCAACAAUACAUUGGUUGGUGAGGUACCCAAGAGUUCUAAGGGCCUCAACACCUCUGGGUGUUCACCAGGUAUCAGUUUCACUAACAUGUCAUUGUAUCUGAAGCAUGGCGGAAGAAGCACACUUCGCCGACAACUUAAUCAUGCCCCAAAUGUCAUAGCUGGGACCAACAACAUUGUCAAAUCUGGGAGCAACAACGUUGUGGCUGGGAACGACAACACUAUCAUAUUUGGGAAUAACAACGCCGUAUCCGGGAGCUACCAGGUCGUAUAUGGUAAUAACCAUGUCGUAACUGGGGAUAACCAUGUCGUAUCUGGGAGCAACCAUGCCGCGUCUGGGAGCCAUCAUGUCGUGAUUGGAAAGCACAAUAUUGUAUCCGGGACCCACAAUGACGUAGGUGGGAGCAAAAAUAUCGUGUCUGGUAGCAACAAUGUUGUAUCUGGGAGCCACAAUACCGUGUCCGGUAAGAACCAUUUCGUGACUGGGCACAACAAAGUCGUAACCUGA